GGGGUUGUGACUCAGUGGUAGAGUGCCCAUCUAGCAUGUGUGGGGUGCUGGGCUCGAUCCUCAGCACCACA
rnacentral:tRNA from 1 species